UACAGAGGGUGCAAGCGUUAAUCGGAAUUACUGGGCGUAAAGGGCGCGUAGGCGGCCUUCUAAGUCGAACGUGAAAUCCCUCGGCUUAACCGAGGACGUGCGGAAGAAACUGCAAGGCUCGAGUCCGGAAGAGGGGGGGGCGGAAUUCCCAGUGUAGCGGUGAAAUGCGUAGAUAUUGGGAGGAACACCAGUGGCGAAGGCGGUCCCCUGGGCCGGAACUGACGCUGAGGCGCGAAAGCGUGGGUAGCAAACGGG
rnacentral:rRNA from 1 species